rnacentral:rRNA from 1 species
UACGAAGGGGGCUAGCGUUGCUCGGAAUCACUGGGCGUAAAGCGCACGUAGGCGGCUUUCUAAGUCAGGGGUGAAAUCCUGGAGCUCAACUCCAGAACUGCCUUUGAUACUGGAGAGCUUGAGUCCGGAAGAGGAGAGUGGAAUUCCUGGUGUAGCGGUGAAAUGCGCAGAUAUCAGGAAGAACACCCGUGGCGAAAGCGGCUCUCUGGGACGGUACUGACGCUGAGACGCGAAAGCGUGGGGAGCGAACAGG